UGAGGCAGGAGAAUUGCUUGAACCCAGGAGGUGGAGGUUGCAGUGAGCCGAGAUCAUGCCACUGCACUCCAGUCUGGGUGACACAGCGAGACU
rnacentral:miRNA from 1 species